UACGAAGGGGGCUAGCGUUGUUCGGAUUUACUGGGCGUAAAGGGCGCGUAGGCGGGCGACUAAGUCAGGGGUGAAAUCCCAAGGCUCAACCUUGGAACUGCCUUUGAUACUGGUUGUCUUGAGUCCGGGAGAGGUGAGUGGAACUGCGAGUGUAGAGGUGAAAUUCGUAGAUAUUCGCAAGAACACCAGUGGCGAAGGCGGCUCACUGGCCCGGUACUGACGCUGAGGUGCGAAAGCGUGGGAGCAAACAGGG
rnacentral:rRNA from 1 species